GACGAACGCUGGCGGCGUGCUUAACACAUGCAAGUCGAACGGAAAGGCCCUGCUUUUGUGGGGUGCUCGAUUGGCGAACGGGUGAGUAACACGUGAGUAACCUGCCCUUGACUUUGGGAUAACUUCAGGAAACUGGGGCUAAUACCGGAUAGGAUCUCCUGCUGCAUGGUGGGGGUUGGAAAGUGUCGGCCGUUGUGGAUGGACUGGCGGCUUAUCAGCUUGUUGGUGGGGUAGUGGCGUACCAAGGCUGUGACGGGUAGCCGGCCUUAGAGGGUGAACGGCCACCUUGGGCCUGCGAGACGGACCAGAAUGCUACGGGAGGCAGUAGUGGGGAAUCUUGCACAAUGGGCCGAAGCCUGAUGCAGCAACGUCGCGUGCGGGAUGCCGGCCUUCGGGUUGUAAACAGAUUUCGAAUGUGACGAAGCGUGAGUGACGGUAAUGGGUAAAGAAGCAACGGCUAACUACGUG
rnacentral:rRNA from 1 species